GUUUCUGUGGUGUAGUGGUUAUCACGUUCGCUUUACACGCAAAAGGUCUCCAGUUCAAUCCUGGACAGAAACA